UGGGAGAUCAAUUGCUAAUAGUAGAAAGCUUGCAUGGAUUUCUCUCAAGAGUAACAGACAGAAGGGGUCAUAUGAGUGCGGAUACUAUGUAAUGUAUUGGAUGACCCACAUUAUUCGCUUCCAUAUCACAAGAGGCUAGGAAACGAAAUUCAAGACUACUACACCAAUUCCUGAGAAGCCACUAUCAUACAUGAGGAUCGCUACUGCAUAAUAUUUAGUUAGAUUAUAUAAUAAUUUUUAGUUAUUAGAUUUAAAAUAGAUUUGAACAUGUU